rnacentral:rRNA from 1 species
UACGAAGGGGGGCUAGCGUUGCUCGGAAUCACUGGGCGUAAAGCGCACGUAGGCGGCUUGUUAAGUCAGGGGUGAAAUCCUGGAGCUCAACUCCAGAACUGCCUUUGAUACUGGAGAGCUUGAGUCCGGGAGAGGUGAGUGGAACUCCGAGUGUAGAGGUGAAAUUCGUAGAUAUUCGGAAGAACACCAGUGGCGAAGGCGGCUCACUGGCCCGGUACUGACGCUGAGGUGCGAAAGCGUGGGGAGCAAACAGG